rnacentral:rRNA from 1 species
UACGGGGGAGGCAAGCGUUGUUCGGAAUUACUGGGCGUAAAGGGCUUGUAGGUGGCCAACUAAGUCAGACGUGAAAUCCCUCGGCUUAACCGGGGAACUGCGUCUGAUACUGGAUGGCUUGAGUGUGGGAGAGGGAUGCGGAAUUCCAGGUGUAGCGGUGAAAUGCGUAGAUAUCUGGAGGAACACCGGUGGCGAAGGCGGGUCUCUGGGACGGUACUGACGCUGAGACGCGAAAGCGCGGGGAGCGAACAGG